CAACUGGAAUUAAAAAUCCAAGUGGCAGUGAAAACUGAAACGCAACCUUCGUAAUUAUUCUCAUUGUUUUUCCUCUCGCGAAUUAAAACCUCCAGUUACCCUCAAACAAACGCUCGCCAAAUUAAUUAUUAGUAAUGCGUUCAAGUAUGCGUGACUGAUGCAUAUUUCAGACAGCACUAGCUUGUACGGCUUUUACGGGACUUGGGAAAACACUGGUAAUGAUAAUAAAUAUUUUUGGGGCGAGAGGAAAGUUUUAUACCGGAAUGGGACUAAUUAAAUUUUCACGAGGAGCGACACAAAACGAAGAUUUUAACUUGCUGUACUGUUGGAAAAAACACAAAAGAGGAGAAAGAUUACAUCGUUUCAGUGCCAAUCUUAUCAACGAUAAUAAGGGUGAUUAUAGAACCAUUAUCGACCAUGGAGAUUCAUAGAUUUUUUUAAAUAUAUUAUGUUUUCUUUCA